GACGAACGCUGGCGGCGUGCUUAACACAUGCAAGUCGAACGGAAAGGCCUGCUUUCCCUUGUGGAUUGCGGGUACUCGAGUGGCGAACGGGUGAGUAACACGUGAGUGAUCUGCCCCCAACUUGGGUAUAAGCCUGGGAAACUGGGUCUAAUUCCCGAUAGGACUGCAGGGUGGUGCCUGUGGUGGAAAACGAUUUUCUAGUGGUUGGGGAUGAGCUCGCGGCCUAUCAGCUUGUUGGUGGGGUAAUGGCCUACCAAGGCGGCGACGGGUAGCCGGCCUGGGGGGGUGGACGGCCGAAUUGAGACAGGGACCGGGCCCGGACCGCAGCGGGGGGAAGCGGUGGGAAUGGUACGGAGGGGGGGGGGACCUUGAGGCGGCGCCGCCGGGGGGGGGUUGGCGGCGUUGGUGUUGUAACCCACUUUGGCCCGAGGGGAGGCCCCGUGUUUGGAAGGGGGGUGACGGUGGUGGAAAAGAAAGCACCGGCUAACUACGUG
rnacentral:rRNA from 1 species